AACGAACGCUGGCGGUAUGCUUAACACAUGCAAGUCGAACGGACUAAUUAAGGGCUUGCUCUUGAUUAGUUAGUGGCAAACGGGUGAGUAACGCGUGGGAAUCUACCCAUCAGUACGGAAUAACAUUUGGAAACAAAUGCUAAUACCGUAUAUUCUCGAAAGAGGAAAGAUUUAUCGCCGAUGGAUGAGCCCGCGUCAGAUUAGGUAGUUGGUGGGGUAAUGGCCUACCAAGCCGACGAUCUGUAGCUGGUCUGAGAGGACGAUCAGCCACACUAGAACUUAGACACGAUCCAGACUCCUAAGGGAGGCAGCAGUGGGGAAUAUUGGACAAUGGGCGAAAGCCUGAUCCAGCAAUACCGCGUGAACGAUAAAGGCCUUAGGGUUGUAAAGUUCUUUUAGCAGGGAAGAUAAUGACGGUACCUGCAGAAAAAGCCCCGGCUAACUCCGUGCCAGCCGCCGCGGUAA
rnacentral:rRNA from 1 species